ensembl:lncRNA
AUAACAUGUAGGAUCAGGUGUCAGAUAACAUGUAGGAUCAGGUGUCACGUAACAUGUAGGAUCAGGUGUCAGAUAACAUGUAGGAUCAGGUGUCAGAUAACAUGCAGGAUCAGGUGUCACGUAACAUGCAGGAUCAGGUGUCACGUAACGUGUAGGAUCAGGUGUCAGAUAACAUGUAGGAUCAGGUGUCACGUAACGUGUAGGAUCAGGUGUCACGUAACGUGUAGGAUCAGGUGUCAGAUAACAUGUAGGAUCAGGUGUCAGAUAACAUGCAGGAUCAGGUGUCACGUAACGUGUAGGAUCAGGUGUCAGAUAACAUGUAGGAUCAGGUGUCAGAUAACAUGCAGGAUCAGGUGUCACGUAACAUGCAGGAUCAGGUGUCAGAUAACAUGCAGGAUCAGGUGUCAGAUAACAUGCAGGAUCAGGUGUCAGAUAACAUGCAGGAUCAGGUGUCACGUAACGUGUAGAAUCAGGUGUCAGAUAACGUGUAGAAUCAGGUGUCAGAUAACAUGUAGGAUCAGGUGUCAGAUAACAUGUAGGAUCAGGUGUCA